rnacentral:rRNA from 1 species
UUGACAUCCACGGAAGUUUUCAGAGAUGAGAAUGUGCCUUCGGGAACCGUGAGACAGGUGCUGCAUGGCUGUCGUCAGCUCGUGUUGUGAAAUGUUGGGUUAAGUCCCGCAACGAGCGCAACCCUUAUCCUUUGUUGCCAGCGGUCCGGCCGGGAACUCAAAGGAGACUGCCAGUGAUAAACUGGAGGAAGGUGGGGAUGACGUCAAGUCAUCAUGGCCCUUACGACCAGGGCUACACACGUGCUACAAUGGCGCAUACAAAGAGAAGCGACCUCGCGAGAGCAAGCGGACCUCAUAAAGUGCGUCGUAGUCCGGAUUGGAGUCUGCAACUCGACUCCAUGAAGUCGGAAUCGCUAGUAAUCGUGGAUCAGAAUGCCACGGUGAAUACGUUCCCGGGCCUUGUACACACCGCCCGUCACACCAUGGGAGUGGGUUGCAAAAGAAGUAGGUAGCUUAACCUUCGGGAGGGCGCUUACCACUUUGUGAUUCAUGACUGGGGUGAAGUCGUAACAAGGUAAGCGUACGUGU